GCUUAGUCGUAAACUUAAAUAGUCCCAAAACAAGACUAUUCGCCAGAGUACUACCGGCAACAGCCCAAAACUCAAAGGACUUGGCGGUGCUUCAUAUCCUUCUAGAGGAGCCUGUUCUGUAAACGAUAAACCACGAUUAACCUCACCAACCCUUGCUACUUCAGUCUAUAUACCGCCAUCUUCAGCAAACCCUAAAAAGGAACGAAAGUAAGCACAACUAUUGCACGUAAAAACGUUAGGUCAAGGUGUAACCUAUGGGUUGGGAAGAAAUGGGCUACAUUUUCUAUAAUAAGAACACCCCUUUAAACCUACACGAAAGUUUUUAUGAAAUCUAAAAACUAAAGGAGGAUUUAGCAGUAAAUUAAGAAUAGAAUGCUUAAUUGAAUAAGGCCAUGAAGCACGC
rnacentral:rRNA from 1 species